GGGUGAGCUACUUGGAAUAAACCUAAUUGCCUCAUUAAAUAUCGACAACUAGAUUUACUCCCUUCCUCCCUCCCUCCAUCGUUCUCGUCACCCUCCACAGGUGGUGGCAAGGAUCAACCUCUAGUGAAGGAAUCGAUUUGCUGUUUCGAGGAGGAAAUCCUCGGUAAUGGGGGCUUCGAAGCUGCUGAUCGUUUCAAUCGUCAUCUCCCUUUUGUUCGUGGGGGUCUGUGCGGACGCGGAGAUCCAAGAGGAGGUCGUCGUCGAACACGAGGACCCGGAUUCACGGCUGAAGCUGGAGUUGGAGCAGCUUAGGUUCGAGAUCUCUGCCUUAGAAUCUAGUAAUAUUGAUAAAGAGCAAGAACUGACGAGCAAAGAUGAGCGGAUUACUCAUUUGGAAAAGAUUAUGAAAGAGAAGUCAUUGAGCAUAGCAUCAUUGCGAAGUAACAUGGAAUCAAUCCAGAAAAAGGGAGAUCUAGAUACAAAGGAGAUUGUUAAAAAGGCCCAAGCUCGAGUUGAUGAGCUUGAGGAGCAGGUGGAAAAACUCACAGCUGAAAUCAAGUUACAAAAUUCAGAGACGGAUUCUUUGAAUGCUUGGGCAAUUGAAGCUGAAAUGAAAGUGAAAGAUCUCAGUUUGAAGUUGGAAAAUCUUCAGAAGACAAACAAUGAGCAAAACAAUAGAAUUCAGAAAACUGAGCAUGCUCUUCAGGUGGCAGAGGAAGAGCUUAUAAGAGUACACUUGGAAGCAACAACUAAGUCAAAGGAGCUAACACAGGCUCAUGGAGCAUGGUUUCCUCCUUGGUUUGCUACGCAUUUCAGUUACUAUAAGGAACUUGCAACAAUUUACUGGAAGGAGCAUGGACAACCUGUACUACAUGUCUUGCUUCAACAGGUAUCAGAGAAAUUGAAUUACGCACAACAAUUGAUGGAACCUCAUUUUGAAACUGCCAAAACUACAUGGGUUCCAGUCAUUAGAGAGCAAUGGCUGUUUUUUGUGUCAAGUGCUGAACCUUAUGUGCAAACUAUGUCGAGUAAAACAGUGGACAUUUAUAACAAAUCUAAGUGUACCAUAUCCAGCCAUGUAGUCAAAGUACAAGAAUUUUCAGAUCCUUAUUUCCAGGCUGCCAAGAGAUUUUCUCAACCAUAUAUAGACCAAGUUGCUACUAUUACCAAACCACAUGUUGAAAAGGUGCGAGUUGGUUUGAGUCCUUAUAGUGACCAUGUAAGUCAUGCUUAUGGAAAGUUUCUCAAAUCAGCAACAACUUAUCACCUGCAGGUCCAAGUUGGCAUUCAGGAAUUCUUCAAGAACCAUGAAAUAAUAAAACCUCUUGCUACCAAAGAGCUGGUGUGGUUUAUGGCUUCUGCCUUUUUGGCAUUACCGAUUUUCCUUGUAUAUCGACUUCUGUCAUAUAUUUUGGGCCCUCGGAAGAAAACAGAAAUAACAAAGAGUUCACAUCGCAGGCCUAAGCAUAGGCAUGCUGACAAGUAAAGUUUGUUCUGGGUUGUUCUUCUCAUACGCCAAGAAGUAUGAAAUGAGGAUUGAGAUGUUUGAGAAACAAAGGAAGUAUGAAACGAGAGUACAGAAGUGUGAGAAACAGAGAAACAUUUGGUUAGUUGGAUCAGAUGCUUCUAAAUUUGUGAAUAAAAUCUAUCUAUUUUUGCACGAUUGAAUAUCCAAAUGGAGGAUUGGACUAGUAAUUGGCUAUGUACCCUGCUUCUACUUAGAUACCCAUCGAAAAGUAUUUGGAGUUUGGAAGGCCUCUUUUGCUAAUGAAUUAGGAUAAUACAUAAAGAUUUUUGUCACAAAGAUAACAGAGUGCAUGGAAUAUUCGGUUAUUGGAUAUUUACAAAUUUAUUCUUGCUCUUGGAACUUACAAUGUAAAGACUUGUUCUAUUCAUAUUUUGGAUUUAGUCCAUUUCUUUAUUAUUUAGGUGUUUAUUCAGAUGAGUAUAUUUAGAAGAAAAUAAUUUUUGUAAUAUGAUUCAAUUUUGCUGUGGUA